AGAGUUUGAUCCUGGCUCAGAUUGAACGCUGGCGGCAUGCCUUACACAUGCAAGUCGAACGGCAGCGCGGACUUCGGUCUGGCGGCGAGUGGCGAACGGGUGAGUAAUACAUCGGAACGUACCCUGUUGUGGGGGAUAACUAGUCGAAAGAUUAGCUAAUACCGCAUACGACCUGAGGGUGAAAGUGGGGGACCGCAGGGCCUCACGCAGCAGGAGCGGCCGAUGUCUGAUUAGCUAGUUGGUGGGGUAAAGGCCCACCAAGGCGACGAUCAGUAGCUGGUCUGAGAGGACGAUCAGCCGCACUGGGACUGAGACACGGCCCAGACUCCUACGGGAGGCAGCAGUGGGGAAUUUUGGACAAUGGGGGCAACCCUGAUCCAGCAAUGCCGCGUGUGUGAAGAAGGCCUUCGGGUUGUAAAGCACUUUUGUCCGGAAAGAAAUCGCGCUGGUUAAUACCUGGCGUGGAUGACGGUACCGGAAGAAUAAGCACCGGCUAACUACGUGCCAGCAGCCGCGGUAAUACGUAGGGUGCGAGCGUUAAUCGGAAUUACUGGGCGUAAAGCGUGCGCAGGCGGUUUUGUAAGACAGGCGUGAAAUCCCCGGGCUUAACCCGGGAAUUGCGCUUGUGACUGCAAGGCUAG
rnacentral:rRNA from 1 species